AACGAACGCUGGCGGCAGGCUUAACACAUGCAAGUCGAACGGGUGCAGCAAUGCAUCAGUGGCAGACGGGUGAGUAACACGUGGGAACCUUCCUAGGGGUACGGAACAACUCAGGGAAACUUGAGCUAAUACCGUAUACGUCCGUGAGGAGAAAGAUUUAUCGCCCUUAGACGGGCCCGCGUCGGAUUAGGCUAGUUGGUGGGGUAACGGCCUACCAAGGCGACGAUCCGUAGCUGAUCUUAGAGGAUGAUCAGCCACACUGGGACUGAGACACGGCCCAGACUCCUACGGGAGGCAGCAGUGGGGAAUCUUGGACAAUGGGCGCAAGCCUGAUCCAGCCAUGCCGCGUGAGUGAAGAAGGUCUUCGGAUUGUAAAGCUCUUUUGCCAGGGACGAUAAUGACGGUACCUGGAGAAUAAGCCCCGGCAAACUUCGUGCCAGCAGCCGCGGUAAU
rnacentral:rRNA from 1 species